GUACACUCCUGCGGGAGGCAGCAGUGGGGAAUUUUGGACAAUGGGGGCAACCCUGAUCCAGCAAUGCCGCGUGAGUGAAGAAGGCCUUCGGGUUGUAAAGCUCUUUUGUCAGGGAAGAAACGGUGGUGGCGAAUAACUACUACUAAUGACGGUACCUGAAGAAUAAGCACCGGCUAACUACGUGCCAGCAGCCGCGGUAAUACGUAGGGUGCAAGCGUUAAUCGGAAUUACUGGGCGUAAAGCGUGCGCAGGCGGUUGUGUAAGUCAGAUGUGAAAUCCCCGGGCUCAACCUGGGAAUUGCAUUUGAGACUGCACGGCUAGAGUGUGUCAGAGGGGGGUAGAAUUCCACGUGUAGCAGUGAAAUGCGUAGAUAUGUGGAGGAAUACCGAUGGCGAAGGCAGCCCCCUGGGAUAACACUGACGCUCAUGCACGAAAGCGUGGGGAGCAAACAGGAUUAGAUACCCUUGUAGUCCCA
rnacentral:rRNA from 1 species